rnacentral:rRNA from 1 species
UACAGAGGGUGCAAGCGUUGUUCGGAAUUAUUGGGCGUAAAGGGCGUGUAGGCGGUCUGCUAAGUCAUGUGUGAAAUCCCUCGGCUUAACCGAGGAACGACGCAUGAAACUGGCAAGCUAGAGUACCAAAGAGGGGGGUGGAAUUCCCGGUGUAGCGGUGAAAUGCGUAGAUAUCUGGAGGAAUACCGGUGGCGAAGGCGGCAUCCUGGACCGGCAUUGACGCUGAGGAGCGAAAGCCAGGGGAGCAAACGGG